rnacentral:piRNA from 1 species
UUGCUUGAUUUCUGGCUGAUGAACUUGC